rnacentral:rRNA from 1 species
ACUCCUACGGGAGGCAGCAGUGGGAAUAUUGCACAAUGGGGAAGCCAUCGAUGCAGCCAUGCCGCGCUGUGUGAAGAAGGCCAAUUCGGGCUUGGUUAAAGACACUUUUCAGUAGGGAGGAAGGUAGUGUAGUUAACACCUGCACUAUUUGACGUUACCUACAGAAGAAGCACCGGCUAACUCCGUGCCAGCAGCCGCGGUAAUACGGAGGGUGCGAGCGUUAUCCGGAUUUAUUGGGUUUAAAGGGUCCGUAGGCGGGUUAAUAAGUCAGUGGUGAAAUCCCAUCGCUUAACGAUGGAACUGCCAUUGAUACUGUUAGUCUUGAAUGAGGGUGCAGUGGUUGGAAUGUGUAGUGUAGCGGUGAAAUGCAUAGAUAUUACACAGAACACCGAUUGCGAAGGCAGAUCACUAACCCUAAAUUGACGCUGAGGGACGAAAGCGUGGGGAGCGAACAGGAUUAGAUACCCUGUAGCGACUG